rnacentral:rRNA from 1 species
UACGGAGGGUGCAAGCAUUAUCCGGAUUCACUGGGUUUAAAGGGUGCGUAGGUGGGCAGGUAAGUCAGUGGUGAAAUCUCUGGGCUUAACCCGGAAACUGCCGUUGAUACUAUCUGUCUUGAAUAUAGUGGAGGUGAGCGGAAUAUGUCAUGUAGCGGUGAAAUGCUUAGAUAUGACAUAGAACAUCGAUUGCGAAGGCAGCUCGCUACACUAUGAUUGACACUGAGGCACGAAAGCGUGGGGAUCAAACAGG